rnacentral:lncRNA from 1 species
UUAAAUUAUAUUUAACUUAGUGAGAUUAUUUCUAGUUUUAGUGAAUUUAUAUUUCUAGUUGUAUUAGAAUUCGACCACUAUUAUAAAUAUAUUUUUUAUUCUGUAAAAUUAGUGCAGCGGAUGAGGAGAAGUAUGGAUAUAUUUUUUGGGACUAGAAUUUUAUGUGAGAGGCAUAGUUUAUACACCACUUUGAUUUUAAUAAAAAUCUUCACUGCGUCUUUGCCUGUGGACGUAGGCAAAUUGUUGAACCAUGUAAAUAUUUGUGUACUUUAUUUUUCUUCUCUCUUUCUCGAUUCAUUUUUGAUAUUUUGACACCCGAUGAAUUAGAUCAUUUAU